ensembl:lncRNA
GACUUAAUAAUGCUGAGUCUCUUCAGAAGCAGUGAUGGUCAUUUUGUUUUCCUCUGGUUGCUUAUAUAUAGCGUAUAUCACUUAUAUAUAGUGAUUUCUGUAACACCAGGGAGAGCUUGAGGUCUCCAGCAGCUUGAGUUUAGAGAGUGCAUUGCUGACAUCUGCUGGAAACACUGCUUAAAAACUGUGAAUCUUUAAAAAAUAUUUUUAUUGUUACAGAAUAUUUCCCUUAACAUGAAGGUCAAUCAUGGAGAUGUUGGAGUAUGCCGAUGACUUCCUCAUUUCCAACGAAGCCGUGGAAACCAGCUCAUCACCAGAGAUCCCCACUCUGUUCUCUCAGAGUGACAAUUGUCUCAUUUCCACUGCGGCAGUGGAAAAGUGUUCCUUUGCUGCCACUGUGGCAAAAGAACCUGGCUGCUCUUUAAGGUCCCCUCUGCCCCCUCCUGCCAGUGCAUGGAGUGGGGCCUCUGCAGGAAAGCUCGGCUCCUCAGAUGCCUCAGUGACCAUCAGAGCCCCAUGUGGAGGUGGUGCACAGAGUGAGGAAACUGCUGAAGCUGGAUGAGGCCGUGAAAAGGCAGCUGGAGCGGCACAUGGUAAAAAUGCAGAUACAGCGGUGCUUUGGGCUACCCAAGAAGGUUCUGGCCUCCUACAAGAAGCUCUCAGAGACCACCCAGGAGCUACAAGACAACCAUCCUCCUCCACAGAGGCACACUGUGCUGCUCUACCGCUCACCCUUCCAGAAGUUCCUUAUAAACACAAGGAAGAACUCCUUUACUGUGAACACAGAAACAGGCUGUCCAGAGAGGUUGUGGAGUGUCCUUCUCUGGAGAUGUUGAAGACACAUCUGAAUGCUCUCCCAUGAGACCUGCUGUGGGAAACCUGCU